GUUUACUCAUUACACGCUCUCAUUUAUCUCUAUCAACAAGUCAGUUUUGUGCGAUCUAAAGUUACAAGGCGAGUUUCAAAUCGUUUAUCUCUAUCAAGAACUCAGUUUUGAGUGAUCUAAAGUUACAAGCACUACUUUACUAUUACUUGAUUUUCUGAAGAUAAUAUUUGAUACUAAUAUCUGUGAGCUAAGGGAUAGUCAACUGAAAGUCAACUAAUAUCUGUGAGCACGACUCUACCGGUAUUUGAUUCUCUGGAGAAAGUAUUUGCUUUUGCUUUAUAUAUUUGAGGAUAUAUUAGCUUACAGAAAAUAAGGUGAUUCAGAUUUUGCAAAUUUAUAAAGAUCUAAAGCUACCACACCACCUCAGGAAAAACAUCGAUCACUCAACUAAUUUGAUUGAUUGAGGACAUAUUCAAUUAGAGAAGAAGGUGAAGAGAUUUUGCAUUAAAGAUCUGAAGUUACAAGGCAAUCUAAUAAAAUUGAAGUGAGGGAAAAGUAAAUCAGUUGGGAGUUGUUAGUUUUGAUUGUGUGUGAGGUAUAUUUCACUUGAUACUGUAUACGUGUAUGGGAUAGUGAACUGGAGUUCUCAUCCGCAGCUUUCAUACUGGAUGCAUUCUGCUUGAACAUAAGCUAGGCUUUGCGAAUUGUGACUCACAUUCUCAAGCCUGUAAGGGAUAGGGAUUUUGCAAGUAUAAAAACAUCAGUAUCUACUGUUGAGAUGAGUUUUCAAAAUGUAUAGCAUAUUCAUCCUAUUUUCUAGAUAUAAAUACAUUUUUUAUCCUAAUUGUAACAUUAACAUAUAAAUACACAAUUUAUUAUUCUUUCAUUAUUACCAAGAAUUGUAUGUUGAAUACAUCAUAAAAUGACUCUAAGUAUCAUUAAUGUGUAUGUUCGCUCAUCUUCACGCUAAUAGCAGGGAACAAAAGUUUCAAGUCUCAAAGUGAGGUGCCUUUUUCUAGGUUGCAACCUUCCAUUUAGCUUGUUUGAAAAUUCUGUGGCGAUAUCUAUCUAGUGAAAUUCCAAGAAGUUAUU